AUAGAUAGAUAUCCAUAGCAAAGAGAAAACAAGAGAGUUUUUGCCCUUCCUUCCUUCUUCUUCUUCUUUUUUUUUUUUUUUU
rnacentral:ribozyme from 13 species